rnacentral:rRNA from 1 species
GACGGAGGAGGCAAGCGUUAUCCGGAAUUAUUGGGCGUAAAGCGUCCGCAGGUGGCUUCUCAAGUCUGUCGUCAAAUCCCAGGGCUUAACUCUGGACAGGCGAUGGAAACUGGGUCGCUAGAGUAUGGUAGGGGUAGAGGGAAUUCCAGGUGUAGCGGUGAAAUGCGUAGAUAUCUGGAAGAACACCAGUGGCGAAGGCGCUCUACUGGGCCAUAACUGACACUCAUGGACGAAAGCUAGGGGAGCGAAAGGG